CUUGGAGAGAUUUUAGUUGCGUGAACGAAGAGAAGACAAUCAGAACCUAGAACGCAGCCAAAGAGUUAAACAAAAAUUUUACAAAUAGAAUUCAACACACACACAACAGCUUCCAACACCCUUGGACAUGUCAUUUCCAAACACAACAUAUAUCAAAGUACUCAUUUAAUUCAAACAAGAUAAUACCCAUGUUUAAUUCAUACUCAAGAAGUAGAAGAAAACUAGAAUAAGUGUGAACAUGGUAAGCCAAAAUCUUUUCAAUAGCGAAGAAAAAUCCAGAGCUACAACAACACUUGAGAGUGGAGAAACAAGCAAAAUUCGCCUAAAUAGAGCGUAAAAAUGUGAAACUGGAGCCCAGCUACUUUGCAACAGCAACAACAAUGCGCUUCAACUUUAGGCGACCGCUCCUCUCUCGUUUUCAGUGAGUUCUCCAGCGGUGGAGUAUUUGGGGCUGGCUUAUGGCCAGCUUUCAUGGUGAUUGGUGAAGAAGAUGAAAGCAGGAAGGGGAACGGGAGGCGAUGCUCGUUCUCUUUGGUUUCUUUCAAGGGGAGCCUCACUAUUUUGUGUUGAAGGAGGAGGAAUGCAUCGUUUCUCUAAUCUAAAGGGGAAGGGUUUUUCUAUUAUCUUUUCUAAAGGGAGGGAAUCCUUCACAUGUGUUAGGUGUCUUAGG
rnacentral:lncRNA from 1 species